rnacentral:rRNA from 1 species
UCUUGGUCAUUUAGAGGAAGUAAAAGUCGUAACAAGGUUUCCGUAGGUGAACCUGCGGAAGGAUCAUUAUUGAAAUAAACCUGAUGGGUUGUUGCUGGUUCUCUAGGGAGCAUGUGCACGCCUUGUCAUCUUUAUAUCUCCACCUGUGCACUUUUUGUAGACCUUUCAGGUCUAUGUUGCUUCAUUUACCCCAAUGUAUGUUAAUAGAAUGUUGUGCCUAUAUAAUAUAUACAACUUUCAGCAACGGAUCUCUUGGCUCUCGCAUCGAUGAAGAACGCAGCGAAAUGCGAUAAGUAAUGUGAAUUGCAGAAUUCAGUGAAUCAUCGAAUCUUUGAACGCACCUUGCGCUCCUUGGUAUUCCGAGGAGCAUGCCUGUUUGAGUGUCAUUAAUAUAUAAAUCAACCUUCUCUUGAUGAGUGGUUUGGAUGUGGGGGUUUGCUGGCAGCCUCUUUGAGGAUUCAGCUCCCCUGAAAUGCAUUAGCAGAACAAACCCGUUCAUUGGUGUGAUAACUAUYUACGCUAUUGAAUGUGAGGUGACAGUUCAGCUUUCUAACAGUCUUUGGRCAAAUUCAUCAUUAAUGUGACCUCAA